rnacentral:rRNA from 1 species
GACGAACGCUGGCGGCGUGCCUAAUACAUGCAAGUAGAACGCACAGUUUAUACCGUAGCUUGCUACACCAUACACUGUGAGUUGCGAACGGGUGAGUAACGCGUAGGUAACCUGCCUGGUAGCGGGGGAUAACUAUUGGAAACGAUAGCUAAUACCGGAUAAUAUUAAUUAUUGCAUGAUAAUUGAUUGAAAGAUGCAAUUGCAUCACUACCAGAUGGACCUGCGUUGUAUUAGCUAGUAGGUGAGGUAACGGCUCACCUAGGCGACGAUACAUAGCCGACCUGAGAGGGUGAUCGGCCACACUGGGACUGAGACACGGCCCAGACUCCUACGGGAGGCAGCAGUAGGGAAUCUUCGGCAAUGGACGAAAGUCUGACCGAGCAACGCCGCGUGAGUGAAGAAGGUUUUCGGAUCGUAAAGCUCUGUUGUAAGAGAAGAACGGGUGUGAGAGUGGAAAGUUCACACUGUGACGGUAUCUUACCAGAAAGGGACGGCUAACUACGUG